rnacentral:rRNA from 1 species
AUGAACGCUAGCUACAGGCUUAACACAUGCAAGUCGAGGGGCAGCAUGGUCUUAGCUUGCUAAGGCUGAUGGCGACCGGCGCACGGGUGAGUAACACGUAUCCAACCUGCCGUCUACUCUUGGCCAGCCUUCUGAAAGGAAGAUUAAUCCAGGAUGGCAUCAUGAGUUCACAUGUCCGCAUGAUUAAAGGUAUUUUCCGGUAGACGAUGGGGAUGCGUUCCAUUAGAUAGUAGGCGGGGUAACGGCCCACCUAGUCAACGAUGGAUAGGGGUUCUGAGAGGAAGGUCCCCCACAUUGGAACUGAGACACGGUCCAAACUCCUACGGGAGGCAGCAGUGAGGAAUAUUGGUCAAUGGGCGAUGGCCUGAACCAGCCAAGUAGCGUGAAGGAUGACUGCCCUAUGGGUUGUAAACUUCUUUUAUAAAGGAAUAAAGUCGGGUAUGCAUACCCGUUUGCAUGUACUUUAUGAAUAAGGAUCGGCUAACUCCGUGCCAGCAGCCGCGGUAAUACGGAGGAUCCGAGCGUUAUCCGGAUUUAUUGGGUUUAAAGGGAGCGUAGAUGGAUGUUUAAGUCAGUUGUGAAAGUUUGCGGCUCAACCGUAAAAUUGCAGUUGAUACUGGAUGUCUUGAGUGCAGUUGAGGCAGGCGGAAUUCGUGGUGUAGCGGUGAAAUGCUUAGAUAUCACGAAGAACUCCGAUUGCGAAGGCAGCCUGCUAAGCUGCAACUGACAUUGAGGCUCGAAAGUGUGGGUAUCAAACAGGAUUAGAUACCCUGGUAGUCCACACGGUAAACGAUGAAUACUCGCUGUUUGCGAUAUACGGCAAGCGGCCAAGCGAAAGCGUUAAGUAUUCCACCUGGGGAGUACGUUCGCAAGAAUGAAACUCAAAGGAAUUGACGGGGACCCGCACAAGCGGUGGAGCAUGUGGUUUAAUUCGAAGCAACGCGAAGAACCUUACCAAAUCUUGACAUCCCUCUGACCGGUCUUUAAUCGGACCUUCUCUUCGGAGCAGAGGUGACAGGUGGUGCAUGGUUGUCGUCAGCUCGUGCCGUGAGGUGUCGGCUUAAGUGCCAUAACGAGCGCAACCCUUGUUGUCAGUUACUAACAGGUGAUGCUGAGGACUCUGACAAGACUGCCAUCGUAAGAUGUGAGGAAGGUGGGGAUGACGUCAAAUCAGCACGGCCCUUACGUCCGGGGCUACACACGUGUUACAAUGGGGGGUACAGAGGGCCGCUACCACGCGAGUGGAUGCCAAUCCCUAAAACCCCUCUCAGUUCGGACUGGAGUCUGCAACCCGACUCCACGAAGCUGGAUUCGCUAGUAAUCGCGCAUCAGCCACGGCGCGGUGAAUACGUUCCCGGGCCUUGUACACACCGCCCGUCAAGCCAUGGGAGCCGGGGGUACCUGAAGUGCGUAACCGCGAGGAUCGUCCUAGGGUAAAACUGGUGACUGGGGCU